rnacentral:rRNA from 1 species
AUUGAACGCUGGCGGCAGGCCUAACACAUGCAAGUCGAGCGAGCGGCGGACGGGUGAGUAAUGUAUGGGGACUGCCCGAUAGCGGGGGAUAACUACUGGACACGGUAGCUAAUACCGCAUACUAUCGGAUAACCCAUAUGGGAUUAGCUAGUAGGUGAGGGAAUGGCUCAACUAGGCGACGAUCCCUAGCUGGUCUGAGAGGAGAAUGAGACACAUUGGGACGGAGACACGGCCCAGACUCCUACGGAGGCAGCAGUGGGGAAUAUUGCACAAUGGGCGCAAGCCUGAUGCAGCCAUGCCGCGUGUAUGAAGAAGGCCCUAGGGUUGUAAAGUACUUUCAGUCGGGAGGCGUUACCGACAGAAGAAGCACCGGCUAACUCCGUGCCAGCAGCCGCGGUAAUAC